rnacentral:rRNA from 1 species
GACGAACGCUGGCGGCGUGCUUAACACAUGCAAGUCGAACGGAAAGGCCCUGCUUUUGUGGGGUGCUCGAGUGGCGAACGGGUGAGUAACACGUGAGUAACCUGCCCUUGACUUUGGGAUAACUUCAGGAAACUGGGGCUAAUACCGGAUAGGAGCUCCUGCUGCAUGGUGGGGGUUGGAAAGUUUCGGCGGUUGGGGAUGGACUCGCGGCUUAUCAGCUUGUUGGUGGGGUAGUGGCUUACCAAGGCUUUGACGGGUAGCCGGCCUGGGAGGGUGACCGGCCACAGUGGGCCAGGGAAAGCGCCCGGACUCCUUCGGGGGGAAGGGGGGGGAAAUUUUGCAAAAGGGGCGGAGGGCGGAAAGAAGAACGCCGGGUGGGGAAGGACGGCCUUCGGGUUUAAAACCCCUUUCGCCUGUGACGAGGGGUGAGGGAGGGAAAUGGGGAAAAAAGAACGGGUAAACUAGGG